GACGAAGCGUCCAAACGUUAUUCGGAAUUACUGGGCUUAAAGGGUGCGUAGGCGGCGCGGAAAGUUGGGUGUGAAAUCCCUCGGCUCAACCGAGGAACUGCGCCCAAUACUACCGUGCUUGAGGGAGAUAGAGGUGAGCGGAACUUAGGGUGGAGCGGUGAAAUGCGUUGAUAUCCUAAGGAACACCGGUGGCGAAAGCGGCUCACUGGAUCUCUUCUGACGCUGAGGCACGAAAGCGUGGGGAGCAAACAGG
rnacentral:rRNA from 1 species